GUUCCCGAUGAUGUUUAAAAACCAUGCUAAUGCUGAUAACAUAUGAUUGAUCAUACUAAUUUGUAUCGCUGAGGGAGCC